GACCAAGCGGCGGACGGGUGAGUAACGCGUGGGUAACCUGCCCUAUACACAUGGAUAACAUACUGAAAAGUUUACUAAUACAUGAUAAUAUGUAUUUACGGCAUCGUAGAUAUAUCAAAGUGUUAGCGGUAUAGGAUGGACCCGCGUCUGAUUAGCUAGUUGGUGAGAUAACUGCCCACCAAGGCGACGAUCAGUAGCCGACCUGAGAGGGUGAUCGGCCACAUUGGAACUGAGACACGGUCCAAACUCCUACGGGAGGCAGCAGUGGGGAAUAUUGCACAAUGGGCGCAAGCCUGAUGCAGCAACGCCGCGUGAACGAUGAAGGUCUUCGGAUCGUAAAGUUCUGUUGCAGGGGAAGAUAAUGACGGUACCCUGUGAGGAAGCCCCGGCUAACUACGUGCCAGCAGCCGCGGUAAUACGUAGGGGGCUAGCGUUAUCCGGAUUUACUGGGCGUAAAGGGUGCGUAGGUGGUCUUUCAAGUCGGUGGUUAAAGGCUACGGCUCAACCGUAGUUAACCUCCGAAACUGGAAGACUUGAGUGCAGGAGAGGAAAGUGGAAUUCCCAGUGUAGCGGUGAAAUGCGUAGGUAUUGGGAGGAACACCAGUAGCGAAGGCGGCUUUCUGGACUGCAACUGACACUGAGGCACGAAAGCGUGGGUAGCAAACAGGAUUAGAUACCCUGGUAGUCCACGCUGUAAACGAUGAGUACUAGGUGUCGGGGGUUACCCCCCUCGGUGCCGCAGCUAACGCAUUAAGUACUCCGCCUGGGGAGUACGCACGCAAGUGUGAAACUCAAAGGAAUUGACGGGGACCCGCACAAGUAGCGGAGCAUGUGGUUUAAUUCGAAGCAACGCGAAGAACCUUACCUAAGCUUGACAUCCCUUAGACCGGUGUUUAAUCACACCUUCCCUUCGGGGCUGAGGUGACAGGUGGUGCAUGGUUGUCGUCAGCUCGUGUCGUGAGAUGUUGGGUUAAGUCCCGCAACGAGCGCAACCCUUGUCUUUAGUUGCCAGCAUUCAGUUGGGCACUCUAGAGAGACUGCCAGGGAUAACCUGGAGGAAGGUGGGGAUGACGUCAAAUCAUCAUGCCCCUUAUGCUUAGGGCUACACACGUGCUACAAUGGGUGGUACAGAGGGUUGCCAAACCGUGAGGUGGAGCUAAUCCCUUAAAGCCAUUCUCAGUUCGGAUUGUAGGCUGAAACUCGCCUACAUGAAGCUGGAGUUACUAGUAAUCGCAGAUCAGAAUGCUGCGGUGAAUGCGUUCCCGGGUCU
rnacentral:rRNA from 1 species